rnacentral:rRNA from 1 species
AGGAUGAACGCUGGCGGCGUGCUUAACACAUGCAAGUCGAACGGUGAAGUGAGGAGCUUGCUCCUUGCGGAUCAGUGGCGAACGGGUGAGUAACACGUGAGUAACCUGCCCUUGACUCUGGGAUAAGCGUUGGAAACGACGUCUAAUACCGGAUACGACCUCCGAAGGCAUCUUCUGGAGGUGGAAAGAAUUUCGGUCAAGGAUGGACUCGCGGCCUAUCAGCUAGUUGGCGAGGUAAUGGCCCACCAAGGCGACGACGGGUAGCCGGCCUGAGAGGGUGACCGGCCACACUGGGACUGAGACACGGCCCAGACUCCUACGGGAGGCAGCAGUGGGGAAUAUUGCACAAUGGGCGCAAGCCUGAUGCAGCAACGCCGCGUGAGGGACGACGGCCUUCGGGUUGUAACCGUCUUUAGUAGGGAAGAAGCGAUGUGCUUGUCACAUCAUGACGGUACCUGCAGAAAAGCACCGGCUAACUACGCGCC